GAGAGAGAGAGAGAGAGAGAGAGAGAGAGAGAGAGAGAUUAUGACUGGUGUUGUUUAUUGUAAGUGUUUGUUGACACUUGACAGCCCUGGAGAUGGCACCAUGACGCAUUAUGGGAAGUAGGCAGUGUGAGGCUCUGGAAAUGUUACUUUAAUACAUACAACUUACCUAAACAUUGUUGAUGGCCAAGUGCACCCCUACAAGGCAAUGGUAUUCCCUAAUGCCACCUACCACAUGACAGUGAUCAGGCCUUCAAAUUCUCUAGAUCUCAAUCCAGUUGAGUAUUCUUAUCCAUGGAGGCCCCACUUUGAAACUUACAGGACUUCACUCAGAGGUUUUGGGGAGUCCAUGUUUCAGCAGAAACAAGAUCCACAAGUUCAAAUCCAAGUGGUGGAAAAUGAAAGAAGACAAUGGAUGGAAGUGGAGUGACUACAUUGUUGAACCGGUUCAGCUGGUAAGACCUACAUUAUUGAAAGUCUGGAUUUAAUGCUAUGAAGUUUACAGAAAAUUUAGAACCUUUAAUAUCACUACAGAACUACAGUUCUGAUAAUCCACCUCUUCUGAAAUAACUAUGCUGACUGCUGCCAUAUUCCAGAGUAAUCAUUUUAUUGAUAUGCCGGGUACCACAAUCAAUACACAAGAAUGGUUUAAUAAUUGCAUGACUCCACCAACUGUCACAGGCAUGGUGCCAUUAUUUAACCUGUUCUUUAUACUGAUGUUGUUCUUCAUUUCUUUGUUCUUGAUCAACUUGAUCUGCCUCUGGCUGUCCAAGAAGAAGUCCAAGAGCCUCUGUGAAGAACUGUAUUUGACUUUUUGUGAUUUUAGUAUGUGAUACAUUUUCAGACAUUUGGGAUUUUUCCCCCAAAAACACCUUCUCUUAUAAUAACAUAUUUUAGUGCCAGUGCACACACAUCUCAAAUCAUUUUGUUCCUCAGUCCAUCAACCACCUACAGUCAUUUGUGAAUCAUUGCAACUAUCACAGUAUGAUAACCUAGUUUAAAAAAAAUCUCGAUUUCAUGGUACUAAUUAACCAUUUAAAAAUACAAAAAAAAGACAGUGAUAAUGAAUUAAUUAAAUUGAUUAUCCUCCUCCAAAAAAAAAA